rnacentral:rRNA from 1 species
AUUGAACGCUGGCGGCAGGCUUAACACAUGCAAGUCGAGCGGAGAUGAGGUGCUUGCACCUUAUCUUAGCGGCGGACGGGUGAGUAAUGCUUAGGAAUCUGCCUAUUAGUGGGGGACAACAUUCCGAAAGGAAUGCUAAUACCGCAUACGUCCUACGAGAGAAAGCAGGGGAGCUUCGGACCUUGCGCUAAUAGAUGAGCCUAAGUCGGAUUAGCUAGUUGGUGGGGUAAAGGCCUACCAAGGCGACGAUCUGUAGCGGGUCUGAGAGGAUGAUCCGCCACACUGGGACUGAGACACGGCCCAGACUCCUACGGGAGGCAGCAGUGGGGAAUAUUGGACAAUGGGGGAAACCCUGAUCCAGCCAUGCCGCGUGUGUGAAGAAGGCCUUAUGGUUGUAAAGCACUUUAAGCGAGGAGGAGGCUCUUCUGGUUAAUACCCAGGAUGAGUGGACGUUACUCGCAGAAUAAGCACCGGCUAACUCUGUGCCAGCCGCCGCGGUAAUAC